UUAUGACAGUGAGAGUUUAUGUAAAGAUUGUAAAAAAAAAUCUGAAAUUUUAAGACCCUACUCUUUCUCUGGAACAACCAACAGCUUCUCCUCUCUCACGUUUCUUCCUCCUUCCUUGCACCCAUAUCCAUUUCUGCAAAACUAAUCCAUAUAAUCUCCUCUCCAGAAAACUUAUAGGACCUCCAAACUCCAAGAGCAUAAUUCUGAGUUGUUGAAUUCCUCUCUUCCAUCCGGUGUGUCAAGUUCUAAGGUACUUUCGGGGUAGUCUCUAAUUAGCGGUGCUGUGCUAAAAUUCCCAGAGAUUGCAGAGGCCCCUUUGGAGCAGGUUUUAGACGUAGUUGAUGCUGCCAAGACUCCAGACACUGCUAAGUAGUUUAGGAUGUCUAAGUUCAUGUGUAUAUAUAUAUGUAUAGUUUAGUCUUUUCUUUUUUACUUCCUUUUUGAAAGACUCUAUAACUACAUGUAGAGCUUUUAUCUUUCUCAUAUAUUAUUGGAUGACUGUAUUUUGUAUAUACUUCAUCUGCCACUACUCUUAACUGCUUUCUAGUAUUAUAAUAUGUUGCA